rnacentral:rRNA from 1 species
GGACGAACGCUGGCGGCGUGCUUAACACAUGCAAGUCGAACGGAAAGGCCCUGCUUUUGUGGGGUGCUCGAGUGGCGAACGGGUGAGUAACACGUGAGUAACCUGCCCUUGACUUUGGGAUAACUUCAGGAAACUGGGGCUAAUACCGGAUAGUAGCUCCUGCUGCAUGGUGGGGGUUGGAAAGUUUCGGCGGUUGGGGAUGGACUCGCGGCUUAUCAGCUUGUUGGUGGGGUAGUGGCUUACCAAGGCUUUGACGGGUAGCCGGCCUGAGAGGGUGACCGGCCACAUUGGGACUGAGAUACGGCCCAGACUCCUACGGGAGGCAGCAGUGGGGAAUAUUGCACAAUGGGCGGAAGCCUGAUGCAGCAACGCCGCGUGCGGGAUGACGGCCUUCGGGUUGUAAACCGCUUUCGCCUGUGACGAAGCGUGAGUGACGGUAAUGGGUAAAGAAGCACCGGCUAACUACGUG